CCACCCACUAGGAUGGCUCAGAUUUUUUUUUUAAAUGGCAGUAACAAGUGUUGGUGAGGAUGUAGAGGAAUCAGAACCCUUAUGCAAUGCUGGUGAGAUUGUAAAAUGGUACAGCCAUGUGAGAAUAGCCUGGAAGUCCUUCAAAAAGUUAAACAAGGAGUUACCACAUGACCCAGCAAUUCCGCUCCUAGGUGUAUACCCAAGAGAAAUGAAAACAUACGUCACACAAAGACUUGUAUGGGAAUGUUUGUAGCUGCAUUACUCUUAAUAGCCAAACACCGGAAACAAGUCAACCCAGAUCUUUCCCCUCACAGACCCCAUAGGAGGUCUACAGGGAGGUGUGACUAGCUCUGCAUUCCUGGAGUCACACAGUAGGCUGGUGGCAGAGCCAAUUCCAGUGUUCUUUCCAUUACAAAAAUUUGCCUCCAGUAACAAUGUGAGGAACAGUAAGAGGAAGAGAUUGAAAACAGGUGGACAUUAAUUAAUUAACAUAUUUUAAACCUAUGACUGGACAUUAAUUAAUUAAGGUAAAAUCUACUGGUUGCCAGGCACUAUGCUGAAGUUUUAGGACAUUAUUAUCUUCUUUGCCUAUUCUCAGAUGAAAAAGCUGAAGUUCAAAAAAAAAAUAGGUAACUUGCGUGAGGGUCAUGUAAUUGUUAAGAAGAACUGGAAUUCAAUCUCAGUUAUGCUCUGCUUCAAGACACUAUGUUUCCUCUCCACGACACUGUAUUGCAUCAAACUCUAAAGAUCUUCUACUCUGUGCAUCCUUCCUAUCCACCCCAGCCUCAACAUUGGAAGAUUCUUGGUUCAUCCACGGGCUCCCCAGAGCACGUGGCCCACAUCUCACUGCCUCAGUAACCCUGGAUCACAAAGAUUACCUGUCUCUUCCACCAUAAACUUGAAGCUUCUUGAGGUAGGAAUCUCAGUUCCUAGCACAGUGCCUGACAGAGUAAGUGCUAAGUAUUGCUUGUUGAAUGAAUAAAUGGAAUGAACGAGUGCGUCACACUGAAAUUCAAGGCAAGCAGCCAAUGUUUAAGAGACUUUGUGUUAUCUUUGCCUAAUAUGACUAUCAUUGUAAGACCAAAAGAACGUGGAAUACCCACAGAUCUUCAUGACUUCUGAGAGACAACUGGGAAAUAUAAAGAAUUUACGGCCACCAGCCUUCCUUCCCUUAUAUAAAUGCACAGAACCUGGGUGUUCCAUGCCACUGACUCACACGAGCCAAGACGGCAGCCUGGGAGCCAUUCCAACUCCGCACCUCUCCCACCUCCACUCCGCCUCCUGCUUGUGCAGACUGCAGGAAGCGUGUUAACCUCUCACAACAAAGAUUGCUUGGUUGCCAGCAGAUCCAGGCUGCUCUGGCUGGGAAAAUAAGCCACAAACAAGGUAGCCACAGGUUGAUCAACUGCCUAACAGGCUGUGUGGUGCAAAACUUCAGAGAUCCAAAAUGGUCUGUGUGAAGCAUGGGGAGUAUUCAGAAACCUAUUAAGUCAAAACACAUUGAUUACUACAAUAUUUUGGGACCACGCCAGGCUGUGACAGAGAAACAAAAGGAAGAUCAGUGAACACUUUACUGCUGAUGGAAUGCUCCUCUCCUGGGAAGCAAGUAACACUGCUGUAGCCAUUCUACAGAUGGAGAGGCUGAGGCUUGAAGAGAUCCAGUGGCUUGCCAGAAGAGGCUGGUUCUAAGAAGGAGAAAUACACUCAUGCCUGGAUCUUGUGAUAACACCUUCUCACAUUCUUUCUACCUGCUUUGGUGAAACUCUGCUAUGCUUGGAGUGAAAAAAAAAAAAAAAAA
rnacentral:lncRNA from 1 species